GGGGAAUUUUGGACAAUGGGGGCAACCCUGAUCCAGCCAUUCCGCGUGAGUGAAGAAGGCCUUCGGGUUGUAAAGCUCUUUCAGCAGGAACGAAACGGUGGUCCCUAAUACGGGCUACUAAUGACGGUACCUGAAGAAGAAGCACCGGCUAACUACGUGCCAGCAGCCGCGGUAAUACGUAGGGUGCGAGCGUUAAUCGGAAUUACUGGGCGUAAAGCGUGCGCAGGCGGUUAUAUAAGACAGAUGUGAAAUCCCCGGGCUUAACCUGGGAACUGCGUUUGUGACUGUAUAACUCGAGUGUGGCAGAGGGGGGUGGAAUUCCACGUGUAGCAGUGAAAUGCGUAGAGAUGUGGAGGAACACCGAUGGCGAAGGCAGCCCCCUGGGUCAACACUGACGCUCAUGCACGAAAGCGUGGGGAGCAAAC
rnacentral:rRNA from 1 species